AAGGCCUUUUCAUAUAAAUGGAUGUUCCAUUAGUGGUUUUAUUUUCUACAAACCUAGUAGUAAGUCCCAGUGAUGAUCACUGAGGAGGAACAAAGACUCUUCCACUUGCUGCCUCUACCACCAACCAUUCACCAAUAGCCACCUAUGGGCAAGUAAACCCAAGAGCCCCAGGAAUGGCAGUGACCCCAGACCACCAGUCCUGCUUCCAGACUGGCCCCUGAAGACAUCACCCCAGAAAACAACCCCUACGGAGAUGCCAUCUGGCAACUUCUGCUGCAAGUGGGAAAGCCCCUUCCUCUUCAGCAACUACAUUUAUGGAAGACCCAGAAAAGAAGUUCUCAACAUCCAGGUUUUUGGUGCUGUCAAACUGUUCACCAUCAAAAAGAGAUAGAACUUUAUCAGUGCAGAUGACAUUUAAGAAGUUGCAUUACAAUCUGCUUGGCAGUUACACCCUAAGGAUCAUGGGAUCUUUCUAUCUGACUUGCAGCUGAAACCACUGAAAUGUCUCCUCCAUUAGAAGGGUAGUUGGGAGGAAAGCUCCAGGCAAACCUUAAAGCAAUAUAUUACGAUCCUGACAGGAUAACUCUGGAUGUCUGCCUUCCAUCGACCCCAGCCCCCACAAUAACAGAGGGAGAUACACAAAACCACAAUAUUAAAUGAGUUCUCUGUUCUAUUGGCCACAAAUAUGCAAUACUGGAGAUUAAUCUCAUCCAUCACUUCCCUCAGGAAAAAAAAAAAGAACCA